ensembl:lncRNA HS1BP3-IT1 HS1BP3 intronic transcript 1
UGAUGGGAAGCCCUUGGAAGCUCUUGAGCGGAGGAGGGACAUGCUCUCCUGGGCUUACUCCUAGCUGCAUAGGAGAGUCUGAGCCGGGCAGGGACAGAGCUGUCGGGGAGUCACUACGGUGAUGCAGCUCCCGUGGAGGAAGGGGCUGGCAGCACCCAAGAACACAAGCACAGAUGGAGGCGUCCCUCUCCAGUGGCUGGGGCAGGCUCUGAUUCCGCCUCCUGCAUUUGGAGCAGCUGUAAGCUAUCAGGGCCUGGCUGGCUGGCUCCAGGCCUCCCAACGUAACCAGCCUGCCCUGCUAUCCUGGCCUGAGGCUGGCAUUCCUCCCAUGGUCUCUGCAGCACUCAUCAUCGGCGCUCCUGCCACAGCAUGGGGACCUGGGCAGCCUGAUGGACAAAUAUUGGGCAGGGAGGUAGGGAGAUGCAGUUUCCUGGAUUCCCUUCCCUUUAUUGAAUAGGAAUCUUUGCACCUAAACAAGUCUGUGUAGAGUCCAGAUUGUGCUCUUUGUCCUUGGUCCAGGAGGUCCAUCUCUUUGAGCAUCAGUUUCCUCUAAUGCCAAGUGGAGACAAUAAAUUGCCCUUUCCAGGGUCCCAACAAGGA